CUACGGGACGCAGCAGUGGGAAUAUUGCACAAUGGGCGCAAGCCUGAUGCAGCCAUGCCGCGUGUAUGAAGAAGGCCUUCGGGUUGUAAAGUACUUUCAGCGGGGAGGAAGGGAGUAAAGUUAAUACCUUUGCUCAUUGACGUUACCCGCAGAAGAAGCACCGGCUAACUCCGUGCCAGCAGCCGCGGUAAUACGGAGGGUGCAAGCGGUAAUCGGAAUUACUGGGCGUAAAGCGCACGCAGGCGGUUUGUUAAGUCAGAUGUGAAAUCCCCGGGCUCAACCUGGGAACUGCAUCUGAUACUGGCAAGCUUGAGUCUCGUAGAGGGGGGUAGAAUUCCAGGUGUAGCGGUGAAAUGCGUAGAGAUCUGGAGGAAUACCGGUGGCGAAGGCGGCCCCCUGGACGAAGACUGACGCUCAGGUGCGAAAGCGUGGGGAGCAAACAGGAUUAGAUACCCUAGUAGUC
rnacentral:rRNA from 1 species